GAUGAACGCUGGCGGCGUGCCUAAUACAUGCAAGUCGAGCGAACAGACGAGGAGCUUGCUCCUCUGACGUUAGCGGCGGACGGGUGAGUAACACGUGGAUAACCUACCUAUAAGACUGGGAUAACUUCGGGAAACCGGAGCUAAUACCGGAUAAUAUAUUGAACCGCAUGGUUCAAUAGUGAAAGACGGUUUUGCUGUCACUUAUAGAUGGAUCCGCGCCGCAUUAGCUAGUUGGUAAGGUAACGGCUUACCAAGGCAACGAUGCGUAGCCGACCUGAGAGGGUGAUCGGCCACACUGGAACUGAGACACGGUCCAGACUCCUACGGGAGGCAGCAGUAGGGAAUCUUCCGCAAUGGGCGAAAGCCUGACGGAGCAACGCCGCGUGAGUGAUGAAGAUCUUCGGAUCGUAAAACUCUGUUAUUAGGGAAGAACAAAUGUGUAAGUAACUAUGCACGUCUUGACGGUACCUAAUCAGAAGGCCACGGCUAACUACGUG
rnacentral:rRNA from 1 species